rnacentral:rRNA from 1 species
AACUUAAGAGUUAUUCAAAUUAGGCACAGCUUAUUUGAAACAGGAUACAACCUCAACCAUUGGGUAAACAAGGGUAAUAAAAAUAAAGUGGGCCCAAAAGCAGCCACCUUCCAAAAAGCGUCAAAGCUUAAUUACUCAAGCCCGUAAUUUCCAAAACACUCUACAACCCCUCAUCUAUACUGAACUAUUUUAUAUAUAUAUAUAAAAAUAAUUAUGCUAGAACUAGUAACAAGAAGUUACCCUUCUCCUUAAUGUGAGCAUACACCAAAACGGACACUCCAUUGGUAGUUAACGUAGAUGCAAAACCAUAAUAACAUAACCAGAAAACCUUAUGGCCACCCAACGUUACCCUUACACCAGAGCAUUACAGGAAAGAUUAAAAGAAAGAGAAGGAACUCGGCAAAUUUUAACCCCGCCUGUUUACCAAAAACAUCGCCUCUUGAUUAAAAAUAAGAGGUCCAGCCUGCCCAGUGAUAAUAUUAAACGGCCGCGGUAUACUAACCGUGCGAAGGUAGCAUAAUCACUUGUUCUUUAAAUGGGGACUUGUAUCAACGGCAUCACGAGGGUUAUACUGUCUCCUCUCUCCAAUCAGUGAAACUGAUCCCCCCGUGAAGAAGCGGGGAUUUUAUUAUAAGACGAGAAGACCCCAUGGAGCUUUAAACUCGACAUACACCAAGGCACUAAAACACCAAUUUAACCCAAAAACCUGUACGUCAGUUUUAGGCUGGGGGGGCCACGGAGUAAAACUAAACCUCCACAACAAAUGGGCUAACACCCUUAUUUAAGAUUUACAAAUCUAAGAAUCACCAAAAUGAUGUUUAAUGACCCGAUAAUUCGAUCAAUGGACCAAGUUACCCUGGGGAUAACAGCGCAAUCUACUUCAAGAGCCCUUAUCGACAAGUAGGUUUACGACCUCGAUGUUGGAUCAGGG